GUUUCAACAUGCUUAUGAUAGAGAGAGCAGUUUGGGGGAUUUUGCUAAUGAGCUCACUGAUUACACUCAGUAAGUCGACUAAACUGAACGUUCUCAAGUUGCUGUUACCUCUCAGCACUCGUGUGCCUGUGAACAUCACACUGACAGCACAGAGAGUAUGCUACAAAUGGGUGUCCUCUAAGCCUGAGACUGUCAGGGUGUAUCCGCUCUCCGCACACAGUCCUCCGGCUCUGCUGCCCCUCUCCUCCUGCAGUCAGCAGUGCUUGGUGUCAGCUCUGUCCUCCCCCCAGGCUGUCCCUCUCCAUACUGUGGUCCAGGCUCAAGACCCUGAGGUCACUCUGUCUGAGGAGGGAUACGGCCUGGUUGUGGACAGAUACAAGGGCAUCAUCUCUGUUGAGCGGGAAACAGCUACUGUCACCGCCCUCAAGCCAGGUCAUGCGACACUAACGGUUACACACAACAGUAUCCAACACAACUGUGUUUUUCAAUGAAACAUUAUGUUGUGGGGCAUAUGAGUGUAUUGUUAUGAUUCCAAGCUCAAUUGUGAUUCAGAUCUGCCCCCUGAAAUAACGUCCCAACUCCCUCGCACUUCUGUAUAUGUGGUGAAGCCCAGGUAUAUGAGUGAGUUACACACAAAACACACAGAAAAUAUAUUAAACCACACACCUGUAUUAAGGUUUAGUUACAUUUGUCUGUGUGUCUCAGCGUUGAGUAUUGAGGAGGGAGAGGAAAGAUGGGUGUUGGAGACAGGGCGGCAGUAUUAUUUGACUGUUCGUAUCCAUGGCAACAAGGCCCAUGUUGUUCACCUGUCACAGGUUGUGCUUCAUAGUCAUCGGUUUAUGCACUGUUUGCUUCACUGCAUUUCUUGACAGGAGCAUAGCGUCUGAACUUUAACCCUGUGCAGAAUGUGAUGAUUGUUGUGGAGGAGACUGAGGGAUUAGUGACACUUCAGUCUUUGUCUGAUCCUGCCUGCCAUCUCCUUCAGACCAUCAUGAAAGGAAAGACUUUAAAACAGGCCUUACUUUAUAGCAUCGUCUCUGAGGAUGGAGAGGAUUGGCCUGUCAUCCCACCAAUCAGAGUGCGAAAGGAAGUGGAAAUCUACAGCCCUCUUACUCUGCAGCCCUCUGUGAUUGUGUUUCCAUGGCAACCCUAAAAUAAGGUGUACCAGUACAAUAUAUUUAGGUACCAUUAAGAACAAUAUUCUUAUCUGUGUAUGUUGAAGCAUAAUGACCGUUUGAUAUAAUAUAAUCUGAGUUGCCAGGUGGAAGGAGGAAGUGGCUCUGUGAUGUGGGAAGUGUCUGAUAGAGAAAUUGCCACAGUUACAGUAAAAGGGGUGGUCAUAGCAGGAAAGAGGAGGGGCCAGGCUGAAAUUCAGGUUUCAGAUUCCAAAAACAUCCUGCACAAAGUAGUCAGGAAGGGUGAUGGUCGUGAGGCCUGCCCGGUUGCAGCUGAUUCCCCAGGGGGGCGUUUGUUGUGUGGGGGACAGGAUAGACAUUCCCUUUGCUCUCUGGGGCAUUCAGGACCCACCAAACACUUGCUCUCAGACAAAUUAUGUCUUUGAUACACAUUUGUACACUCACAGGAGCAUCACUGCAAAUUCUCAGGCAAACUUGUUCUCUGAAACACACCAUCUUCAAUGCGGCGAGUCUCUACUGGAGGAUAGAAAUCUUGUGUUAGUCACAGACUGCUCUCAGCUCUCUCUACACGUCCAAACUGAACCUGCCGGCUUCUUCACACGCAUGCCAGGAUCUCUGUCUCCAGGUGCUGGAUUCUCUUUCACGGGGGCACACUGUUGUUACCAUCACAGUGGAAACAGAGGGAUGCAACAUCAGUGAGACGACAACACUGGUGGCCUACAGCCCUCCCAAAUUUCUUGCGCCUGAGGUUCUUCUCUCAGUGGGCUCCUCUUGUGUGGUUAUAUUCGAGGGUGGGCUUCGUCCCUGGCUCCCGGCUACCUUCCGUUUCUUUAGUGACGUCGAGGUGCAGCCAGAGGGGGGUGUUACCAUGGAGGCUCUGCGUCCGACUGCAGCAAGGCCACCUAAACAUGCGUAUCAGGUCAUGUGCACUGCCGUAGGAGAACAGGGACACGGGGCCAGUGGACAAGUACAGUGUGGGAUUUCAUGUGACUGGCCUGACAGUGGGCGUGGUCAGUCUCCGCCUCUCAGCAGUGGAUGGACAUGGGUCUGUUAUAAGCUCCUCUCACAAGAAUAUGCAAGUUUACCCUCCAUUCAGUUUGCAGCCCUGUAAACUUACUCUGUCAGUUGGAAGCUUGCCACAGGUGAAACGGGAGGGAUUCAUCCUCAGUAUGUUGUCAGGUUCUCUGUGAGUGACAGCGCUGUCACCAUGGUAACUGAGACAGGACGGGUCAGAGGUGUGGCAGUGGGUGUGGUCAAACUCAGAGGAGCUCUUCAGACACAAGAUACAGAAGCAUUGAUUACCUUUUUACAGGAUGAAGUGGAGGUGGAGGUGUUCAACCUGACAGCAGUGAGGAUACAGGCUCCUUUAGUCACUCUAUGAACACCGUAUGAACAGAGAUGCCGGUUUAUGUGAUGGGGAGUUUCAGUGGUCAGAACCCUUUAUCUCUGGGUAGUGUUGACUCUGGCCUCAGUUUCCACUGGCGUCUACACAAAGCAGGUGUGCUGGAGAUCGAACCAAGGCAUGCAAAGUUUCUCUGCGCUGGUGAGGGCCAGAGCUCCAGGGAGGACCAGCCUCAAAGUGUGUGUGCAGCUCCAACAGAUAGACACCAGCAACACAUCACUCUCUGAUCUCACUGAUGAGAUACAGAUACUGGUGUUUGAAGAGAUGCAGUUAACAGCAGGAAGCCCAGGAUCCAUCCUCAUGUCUUCCCUCU
ensembl:lncRNA